ACAGCCAGAUCACUUAGAAAGACCGGUUCCCGUACUAUCACCGAAGUUAAGCAGCUUCGAGUCUUAUUAGUACCUAGAUGGGUGACCACUUGGUAAUACCAGGUGCUGUAAU